AUAAGGAUAACUUAAUAUUGUAAACAUUAUGUAAAUGGGAAAAAGGUGAAAAUCCUUUGCUGUAAUCGCAGCUGUAAUGCAAUAUGUCCUCUUAAUAUACCACUGUCCUCAGGAUGGGAAGGUUGGGGGAAUGCCAUUGUAGAGCCAGAAGACCGGCAUAAUGUUUUCUUAAAAC
rnacentral:ncRNA from 2 species